rnacentral:rRNA from 1 species
UACGUAGGGUGCGAGCGUUGUCCGGAAUUAUUGGGUUUAAAGGGUGCGUAGGCGGGUUAUUAAGUCAGUGGUGAAAGCCUUCAGCUUAACUGAAGAACUGCCAUUGAUACUGAUGAUCUUGAGUAUGAUUGAGGUGGGCGGAAUGUGUCAUGUAGCGGUGAAAUGCUUAGAUAUGACACAGAACACCGAUUGCGAAGGCAGCUCACUAAGCCAUAACUGACGCUGAUGCACGAAAGCGUGGGGAGCAAACAGG